rnacentral:tRNA from 1 species
GGGCUCGUGGUCCAUCGGUAAGACGCCACUUUCACAGAGUGGAGAGCCGAGUUCGACUCUCGGCGGGCCCA